GAUGAACGCUGACAGAAUGCUUAACACAUGCAAGUCGAUUCAAUUUACCUUCGGGUAUUGAGGAUGGCGGACGGGUGAGUAACGCGUAAGGAACUUGCCUCUUGGUCUGGGACAACUGUUGGAAACGACAGCUAAUACCGGAUAUUAUGAGAUUCUCGCAUGGGAAACUUAUGAAAGCUAUAUGCGCCAAGAGAGAGCCUUGCGUUCCAUUAGCUAGUUGGUGGGGUAACGGCCCACCAAGGCGACGAUGGAUAGCCGGCCUGAGAGGGUGAACGGCCACAAGGGGACUGAGACACGGCCCUUACUCCUACGGGAGGCAGCAGUGGGGAAUAUUGGACAAUGGGCCACAAGCCUGAUCCAGCAAUUCUGUGUGCACGAUGAAGGUCUUCGGAUUGUAAAGUGCUUUCAGUUGGGAAGAAGAAAGUGACGGUACCAACAGAAGAAGCGACGGCUAAAUACGUGCCAGCAGCCGCGGUAAUACGUAUGUCGCAAGCGUUAUCCGGAUUUAUUGGGCGUAAAGCGCGUCUAGGCGGAAAAAUAAGUCUGAUGUUAAAAUGCGGGGCUCAACUCCGUAUUGCGUUGGAAACUGUUUUUCUAGAGUACUGGAGANGUGGGCGGAACUACAAGUGUAGAGGUGAAAUUCGUAGAUAUUUGUAGGAAUGCCGAUGGAGAAGUCAGCUCACUGGACAGAUACUGACGCUAAANC
rnacentral:rRNA from 1 species